rnacentral:lncRNA from 1 species
AAAAAAAGAAGAAGCUUGAAUCUAUUUUUUUGAAGAUGGAGGGUAAAGAAGAAGAUGUUAAGCUAGGAGCAAACAAGUUCUCAGAGAGACAACCUAUUGGGACAUCAGCCCAGACAGACAAGGACUACAAGGAGCCACCAGCAGCACCCUUCUUUGAGCCUGGUGAACUCAAAUCAUGGUCUUUUUACAGAGCUGGUAUUGCCGAGUUUGUAGCCACCUUCUUGUUCCUUUACAUCACCGUCUUGACUGUCAUGGGUGUGUCUCAGUCUAAAACCAAAUGUGCAACCGUUGGUAUUCAAGGCAUUGCUUGGGCUUUUGGUGGCAUGAUCUUUGCUCUUGUUUACUGUACUGCCGGCAUUUCAGGU